rnacentral:tRNA from 1 species
GGAGAGGUGGCAGAGCGGUUGAAUGCAGCGGUCUCGAAAACCGUUUUACCGGUGAACCCGGUAACCAGGGUUCGAAUCCCUGCCUCUCCGCCA